AUUGAACGCUGGCGGCAGGCCUAACACAUGCAAGUCGAGCGGAUGAAGGGAGCUUGCUCCUGGAUUCAGCGGCGGACGGGUGAGUAAUGCCUAGGAAUCUGCCUGGUCGUGGGGGAUAACGUCCGGAAACGGGCGCUAAUACCGCAUACGUCCUGAGGGAGAAAGUGGGGGAUCUUCGGACCUCACGCUAUCAGAUGAGCCUAGGUCGGAUUAGCUAGUUGGUGGGGUAAAGGCCUACCAAGGCGACGAUCCGUAACUGGUCUGAGAGGAUGAUCAGUCACACUGGAACUGAGACACGGUCCAGACUCCUACGGGAGGCAGCAGUGGGGAAUAUUGGACAAUGGGCGAAAGCCUGAUCCAGACAUGCCGCGUGGGUGAAGAAGGUCUUCGGAUUGUAAAGCACUUUAAGUUGGGAGGAAGGGCAGUAAGUUAAUACCUUGCUGUUUUGACGUUACCAACAGAAUAAGCACCGGCUAACUUCGUG
rnacentral:rRNA from 1 species